UUAUGAAGAGGCCCACACAGUGGGGAAAUGAUACCUCAUCCCAGCAGAAGCCCUAACUUGCCAAGCAUGUGAGGCACCAUGUUGGAACCAAUCCUCCAGCCCCAGCCAAGCCUUCAAAAGACCACAGUCACAGUGGAAAUUCUAAUUGCAGCAUCUCAUGAGAGACCCCAACAGGCCAACAUCAGGUUCCAGAGGACUUAAGAGUAUGCACUGCCUCUGCGUGGAUGACCCACAGGGGUAAAUACACCCAGCCACCUGGAGAUAUCUGACUUCCCCAGGCAUCCUAAGUCAGCCACAGGUCUCUCCAACUCAAGCACUCAAACCAAAGUUGAUUGUUGUUAUUAUCUGAUCCACCUUGGAAUAAAAACAAACAGAAGCCAGCUGCUCUCUGGUAAGUGGUGCUCAGGGAUGGCACCGUACAGCCACCCAAGACAGAAGCCUCGGGGCUCCUCCCCGGCUCUCUCCACCUGCCACAUCAGCCAGGGGCGCAGCUCUCCUCUUAACCCUCAGCCCCUGUCCUUGUGGUGUCCCCGUGCGUACACCCAAAGUAUCAUCCUAGGUAAAUGCUCUCUUCCCCAAGCUGGUCUCUCUGCUUCCAUUGUGUGUAUCAUCUGCACCCGUAAGGCAAAGAAAAAGAAAAUAUAAAAAUCAGAUCAUAGCACCUCCCUUACUUAAAACCCUCUGUUGUUUCGCAGUGCAGAGCAAACUACAGGUUGUCUACAGAAGCUGCUGUUUUCUCUAGUGGACAGUGCCUGCAACAACUUCAUUUAAGUCAACGAAUGAGAUCACUAAUCAGAGUAGAACUGAUCAGAUCCAGUGUCCUCCUUAAACUGGUGUCUCCAGCACCAGGCCUUGGCAAGUUAGGUCCUUGUCUCCCUCACCGCUCACACAGCUUCAGGAAGCGGGUCCUUCUAGUGGCCCCAUCUCACAGGCAAUGAAACAAAGGGUCAGAGAGGUGAAGAAGCUUGCUGAAGACACGUAAGUAGCAGAGCCGGCAAAUCAAU
ensembl:lncRNA